rnacentral:rRNA from 1 species
UACGAGAAGUGCAAGUGUUACUCCUCAUGAUUGGGCGUUAAGGGUAUGUAGAUUGUAAUUAAAAGUUAGAGAUACAUUUUUUAAAUUGAUUAAUAUUUUUAUCUUUUAAUACUUUUUUUACUUGAGUAACAAUAAAGAUAGUAGAACUACUAAUUGAGCGUUUUAAAAUGCAUUUUGUAGAUUAGUGGGAAUAUCAAAUGGCGAAGGCAUAUAUCUAUUGUAUACUGACAUUGAGGUACGAAAGCAUGGGUAUCAAAUGGG